GAUGAACGCUAGCGGCAGGCCUAACACAUGCAAGUCGAGGGGUAGAAGGAGCUUGCUCCUUUGAGACCGGCGCACGGGUGCGUAACGCGUAUGCAAUCUACCUUGUACAGGGGAAUAGCCCAGAGAAAUUUGGAUUAAUGCCCCAUAGUAUAUAACCUUCGCAUGUUGGUUAUAUUAAAGUUCCAACGGUACAAGAUGAGCAUGCGUCCCAUUAGUUAGUUGGUAAGGUAACGGCUUACCAAGACGAUGAUGGGUAGGGGUCCUGAGAGGGAGAUCCCCCACACUGGUACUGAGACACGGACCAGACUCCUACGGGAGGCAGCAGUGAGGAAUAUUGGUCAAUGGUCGCAAGACUGAACCAGCCAUGCCGCGUGCAGGAAGACGGUCCUAUGGAUGGUAAACUGCUUUUAGACAGGAAGAAACCCUCUCACGUGUGGGAGCUUGACGGUACUGUAGGAAUAAGGAUCGGCUAACUCCGUG
rnacentral:rRNA from 1 species